CGGACGGGUGAGUAACGCGUGGGUAACCUGCCUCAUACAGGGGGAUAACGAUUGGAAACGAUUGCUAAUACCGCAUAAGCGCACAGUACCACAUGGUGCAGUGUGAAAAACUCCGGUGGUACAAGAUGGACCCGCGUCUGAUUAGCUAGUUGGUAAGGUAACGGCUUACCAAGGCGACGAUCAGUAGCCGACCUGAGAGGGUGACCGGCCACAUUGGGACUGAGACACGGCCCAA
rnacentral:rRNA from 1 species